GGUUAAGUGACUAAGCGUACACGGUGGAUGCCUGGGCAGUCAGAGGCGAUGAAGGACGUACUAACUUGCGAUAAGCGCAGAUAAGGCAGUAAGAGCCGUUUGAGUCUGCGAUUUCCGAAUGGGGAAACCCAACUGCAUAAGCAGUUACUGUUAACUGAAUACAUAGGUUAACAGAGCAAACCGGGGGAACUGAAACAUCUAAGUACCCCGAGGAGAAGAAAUCAACCGAGAUUCCGGUAGUAGCGGCGAGCGAACCUGGAUUAGCCCUUAAGCACUCGGUGAAGUAGGUGAACAAGCUGGAAAGCUUGGCGAUACAGGGUGAUAGCCCCGUAACCGACGCUUCAUCGAGCGUGAAAUCGAGUAGGGCGGGACACGUGAUAUCCUGUCUGAAUAUGGGGGGACCAUCCUCCAAGGCUAAAUACUCCUGACUGACCGAUAGUGAACCAGUACCGUGAGGGAAAGGCGAAAAGAACCCCUGUGAGGGGAGUGAAAUAGAACCUGAAACCGUGUACGUACAAGCAGUAGGAGCACCUUCGUGGUGUGACUGCGUACCUUUUGUAUAAUGGGUCAGCGACUUAUAUUCAGUGGCAAGGUUAACCGUAUAGGGGAGCCGUAGCGAAAGCGAGUCUUAACUGGGCGCUCAGUCUCUGGAUAUAGACCCGAAACCGGGUGAUCUAGCCAUGGGCAGGUUGAAGGUUGAGUAACAUCAACUGGAGGACCGAACCGACUAAUGUUGAAAAAUUAGCGGAUGACUUGUGGCUAGGGGUGAAAGGCCAAUCAAACUCGGAGAUAGCUGGUUCUCCCCGAAAGCUAUUUAGGUAGCGCCUCGGACGAAUACUACUGGGGGUAGAGCACUGUUAAGGCUAGGGGGUCAUCCCGACUUACCAACCCUUUGCAAACUCCGAAUACCAGUAAGUACUAUCCGGGAGACACACGGCGGGUGCUAACGUCCGUCGUGGAGAGGGAAACAACCCAGACCGCCAGCUAAGGUCCCAAAGUAUUGCUAAGUGGGAAACGAUGUGGGAAGGCUCAGACAGCUAGGAUGUUGGCUUAGAAGCAGCCAUCAUUUAAAGAAAGCGUAAUAGCUCACUAGUCGAGUCGGCCUGCGCGGAAGAUGUAACGGGGCUAAGCAAUACACCGAAGCUGCGGCAAUAUCUUUUAGAUAUUGGGUAGGGGAGCGUUCUGUAAGCCGUUGAAGGUGGAUCGU
rnacentral:rRNA from 1 species